UCUCACUAGGUCUCUCUCUCUUUCUGUCUCUCACUAGGUCUCUCACCCUUUCUGUCUCUCACUAGGUCUCUCACCCUUUCUGUCUCUCACUAGGUCUCUCACCCUUUCUGUCUCUCACUAGGUCUCUCUCUCUUUCUGUCUCUCACUAGGUCUCUCUCUCUUUCUGUCUCUCACUAGGUCUCUCACCCUUUCUGUCUCUCACUAGGUCUCUCUCUCUUUCUGUCUCUCACUAGGUCUCUCUCUCUUUCUGUCUCUCACUAGGUCUCUCACCCUUUCUGUCUCUCACUAGGUCUCUCUCUCUUUCUGUCUCUCACUAGGUCUCUCUCUCUUUCUGUCUCUCACUAGGUCUCUCACCCUUUCUGUCUCUCACUAGGUCUCUCUCUCUUUCUGUCUCUCACUAGGUCUCUCUCUCUUUCUGUCUCUCACUAGGUCUCUCACCCUUUCUGUCUCUCACUAGGUCUCUCUCUUUCUGUCUCUCACUAGGUCUCUCACCCUUUCUGUCUCUCACUAGGUCUCUCACCCUUUCUGUCUCUCACUAGGUCUCUCUCUCUUUCUGUCUCUCACUAGGUCUCUCUCUCUUUCUGUCUCUCACUAGGUCUCUCACCCUUUCUGUCUCUCACUAGGUCUCUCUCUCUUUCUGUC